UACGUAGGUGGCAAGCGUUGUCCGGAAUUAUUGGGCGUAAAGCGCGCGCAGGCGGUCCUUUAAGUCUGAUGUGAAAGCCCACGGCUCAACCGUGGAGGGUCAUUGGAAACUGGGGGACUUGAGUGCAGAAGAGGAAAGCGGAAUUCCACGUGUAGCGGUGAAAUGCGUAGAGAUGUGGAGGAACACCAGUGGCGAAGGCGGCUUUCUGGUCUGUAACUGACGCUGAGGCGCGAAGGCGUGGGGAGCGAACGGG
rnacentral:rRNA from 1 species